rnacentral:rRNA from 1 species
UACGGGGGGAGCAAGCGUUGUUCGGAUUUACUGGGCGUAAAGGGCGCGUAGGCGGCGUGACAAGUCACUUGUGGAAUCUCCGGGCUUAACUCGGAACGGUCAAGUGAUACUGUCGUGCUAGAGUACAGAAGGGGCAACUGGAAUUCUCGGUGUAGCGGUGAAAUGCGUAGAUAUCGAGAGGAACACCUGCGGCGAAGGCGGGUUGCUGGGCUGAUACUGACGCUGAGGCGCGAAAGCUAGGGGAGCGAACGGG